rnacentral:rRNA from 1 species
UACGUAGGUGACCAGCGUUGUUCGGAUUUACUGGGCGUAAAGAGCGCGCAGGCGGUCGUUCAAGUCGAGUGUGAAAGCCCCCGGCUCAACUGGGGAGGGUCAUUCGAUACUGAUCGACUGGAAGGCAGGAGAGGGAAGCGGGAAUUCCCGGUGUAGUGGUGAAAUGCGUAGAUAUCGAGAGGAACACCAGUGGCGAAGGCGGCUUCCUGGUCC